CUUCGUCGACUUGCUGCGGGCAAAUCAGAUGGAUAUGCGUAUCGAAACCACCAGCCGUAAUGAUCUUAUUCUCGCCCGCAAUCACGUCCGUGGACGAGCCCACUACCAGAUCCGGGUGCACUCCGUCCAUGACAUCCGGGUUACCGGCCUUUCCAAUACCAGCAAUCAAGCCGUCCUUAAUACCGAUAUCCGCCUUGUAGAUACCAGUAUAAUCAAUAAUCAGGGCAUUGGUAAUAACCGUGUCCACACACUCGGCCGACGAGCGUCCAGAUGCCUGUCCCAUACCCUCACGUAG
rnacentral:sRNA from 1 species